GGUUAAGCGACUAAGCGUACACGGUGGAUGCCCUGGCAGUCAGAGGCGAUGAAGGACGUGCUAAUCUGCGAUAAGCGUCGGUAAGGUGAUAUGAACCGUUAUAACCGGCGAUUUCCGAAUGGGGAAACCCAGUGUGUUUCGACACACUAUCAUUAACUGAAUCCAUAGGUUAAUGAGGCGAACCGGGGGAACUGAAACAUCUAAGUACCCCGAGGAAAAGAAAUCAACCGAGAUUCCCCCAGUAGCGGCGAGCGAACGGGGAGGAGCCCAGAGCCUGAAUCAGUGUGUGUGUUAGUGGAAGCGUCUGGAAAGGCGCGCGAUACAGGGUGACAGCCCCGUACACAAAAAUACACAUAUUGUGAGCUCGAUGAGUAGGGCGGGACACGUGGUAUCCUGUCUGAAUAUGGGGGG
rnacentral:rRNA from 3 species